rnacentral:piRNA from 1 species
GUUCUCUAGAGUAACAAAACUGAUGGGAU